rnacentral:sRNA from 1 species
CUUCCUUUUUCGUCUGGGCUGCCAACAUGCCAUCCAGACUGAGGAAGACCCGGAAACUUAGGGGCCACGUGAGCCACGGCCACGGCCGCAUAGGUAAGUGCCGGCUUCCCCUCGGGGUGGGCCUUGGGCUCUCUUCGGGUGCUUAGCUAGGCUGGAGAUCGGUAGCCUAUAAGUGGGUUAGAAUAAGACCUUUUUGUGGUCAAGUUGGACAGCUGUUGAUUUUUUUCUGAGGAUCCUCUAGUAUUCCAUUUCUAAGGAAUUUCACAUCAGUGGGGUAAUAGGACUUGAGCAGGCACGGUAUUGGGUUAGUUGAAGACAUGGAGUACUGUGGGAAUGCUGUGAUGUGGAACCUGAAAAGAUGUUUCACCCGGAAUCCUAAAGUAAUCGCAUUGCUGAAAACCGGCAUCGGUAGGGUGGGAACAGCGUAAGCGGGACACAGAAGUCUGGGAAACACUCUGCUUUUGUGCGAGGAAGUAUUGAGAUGCAUGAGAAGGCUGUGUGGUGCAUGUAGCUUUUUUGUGUGUGUGAGACUGAUCACUGUCGCCCAGGCUGGAGUGCAGUGGCGAAAUCUCGGCUCACUGCAACCCCUGCCUGCCGGGCUCAAG